CCACCCCUGAGUGGUCUGCUAGAGGCCGUGAGACACUGGCAGGAGUGUCCGGCUGCUCCCAGCCAGGCGGGUCUGCUGGGGUGAGGUGGGCCUGCAGCUGUCUGCCUGUGACCACGUUUCUCAGGGGACACGCACUGUUGUGACCCCUCGCUUUGGGCUGCCGGGGAGGGGAGGGAACAGGGUGUUUGUCUCUGAAUGCCCUGCCCACUAGGGGAGAGCACGAAACCUUCAACAGGAAGGGAGAUCUAGGUGGUGGUUGAGGGAUCUAGGUCUAAGCGGGGGAGCUUGUGGCCCCAGGCUCUUGUCAGCGCAUUGGCCACCACCUCAGAGCCCAGGGGUUUAUCCCCUGGGAUUAGUUUAAACAUAGGAAAGGGAUUCGCGUGGCUCUGGACUGGAGCAGUGGUUUAGAGACAAACCUGUUCCCGGGGAGCUGCCUCUUGGUUCUCUUUUCGCCCCUUGGUUCUCUGGACGCUUGGAGGGCUUCCGAGGCCCUUGUGUGGGUGUGAGUUUUAGAAGCAGGCACGAACAGGCCCUUUCUGCUGGCCCUGGCCCGAUCACUGCCAGGGGGGAAACAGCCCCUAUGAUUCAGCCUUGGCCCCCAGCCCCAGGGGUGUGCCCAGGAGUGCUGCGGGGUCACCUUCCAUGUGCAGUGGGAGGCCAAUGUGCGGCAUGUUGUCGAGGCCUGCAUGCGAUGCUGCCGUGUCGUGUCUCACACUGGCAAGGUCGCUGCACCCCCAGAUUGCAGGUAAAGAAACUGAGGCUCAAGGGUUAAGCCAUCCCUGAAGUUACCAAGUGGAGGCCCCACUUCAGGGCUCCUGGCUGGCCUCACAAAGCUGCACACACAGAAGGGCCUGAAGCAGCAGAACCCGGACGGCCUGUUCUGCUGGUGCUGCUCCCCCUUCAGAGGUGGCCAGGCAGUGCACACGCGUGUGCUGGGCUUCCUCUUCUUUGCUGCCGCCUGCUUCCUGUACGAGUCUCCGUCCGGGCCCUUGGCCGACCGGGCCGCCUCCCUGCCCAGCCAGUCAUCAGCCUCCGAGGGGCCCCUCGGACCUCCAGCUGCAGAGUGCCAUCUGACCUGCCUGCUCAGGGUCGCCCUCCUCACCGAGGCCACAGUGCCGGACCUGGGGAGUCUGCGCUGGACUCGGGCCUGCGGGGCCACCCCAAGGUUGCACUGAGCCAUGGGUCGUGGAGGGUCAGAGCCUGAGACCAGGAAGGAGGAGUGGUGCCGGGCAUACUGGAAGUGGACACGCCCCCCAGCCCGAGCACUCCUGAGGAAUGGCCCAUCCUGCCAGCUGCCUGCCUGGCUCUGACUUUCCAUGUCGCUUUGGAUGUGGCAGCAAGCCCUGUGGGGGUCAGGGCCCUGGGAGGCUGGAUGCUGUGGAACCUUCCAUUUGACAUCUUGUUUGAAUCUGCUGUCACUUCUUGUCCUUGGAAACAGGUGGCCUCUGCAUUGGGUGGGACCGAUUUGGAUAAACACACAUUUGUGGACCUCUGGUUUAUAUAUAGAACUUGCUUUAAGCCAGGCAUGGUGCACACCUGUAAUUCUAGCACUCUGGGAGGCUGAGCAAGAGGCUUUAUACCGGAUCAAGUGGUGUGUGUCGGGAGAACUCGGGCCGAGGGCUGCGCUCUUGGCCGGCAGGUGCCCGUCAGUCCUGGGACAGUUUCCACAUGUCCUCAAAGUUGUGAGUCUAUAAAUAUAUUUUAAUACUUAAAGCUUUUA
ensembl:lncRNA